AGUGAUUCUCCUGCCUCAGCCUCCUGAGUAGCUGGAACUACAGAUUUUUAUCUUUGAGUAUUUCCACAUUCACAUAUAAUUUUAUAUGACAAAAAAUUUUUAAAUCAAGAUACAGAGUGGAACCGAAGGAGAUAUAGCCACAAAAAAGCCUACAAAUAAAUCAGUGAAUCCAGGAACUUUUAAAAAAAAAAGAAAAUAGAUAAAUGGCUAGCUAGACUAAUGAAGAAAAAAGAAUCAAAUAGACACACUUUGAAAUGAUAAAGAAGAUAUUACUACUGACUCCUCAGAAAUAGAAUCAUCAGAGAAUACUACUAACAGCUCUAUACAAAUAAACUAGAAAAUCUAGGAGAAAUGGAUAAAUUCCUAGACACAUACACCCUCCCAAGACUGAACCAGGAAGAAGUUGAGUUCCUGAAUGGACCAGAACAAGUUCUGAAAUUGAGACAGUGAUAAAUAGCCUAGCAGCAAAAAAAGCCCAGGACCAGAUGGACUUACAGCUGAAUUCUACAASAGGCACAAAYWGGAGCUGGUYCCYUUUCUUCUGAAACUKUUCCAAACAAUUGAAAAGGAGGGACUCRUGCCUAYCUCAUUSUYUGAGGCCAGRYUCAUCCUGAUACCAAAAWUUGGCYGAAAU